AUUGAACGCUGGCGGAAUGCUUUACACAUGCAAGUCGAGCGGCAGGCGCGGGGGCAACCCUGGCGGCGAGCGGCGAACGGGUGAGUAACAUAUCGGAACGUACCCAGGUCGUGGGGGAUAACUAAUCCGAAAAGGAUAGCUAAUACCGCAUACGACCUGAGGGUGAAAGCGGGGGACCGUAAGGCCUCGCGCGAUUGGAGCGGCCGAUAUCGGAUUAGCUAGUUGGUGAGGUAAAGGCUCACCAAGGCGACGAUCCGUAGCUGGUCUGAGAGGACGACCAGCCACACUGGAACUGAGACACGGUCCAGACUCCUACGGGAGGCAGCAGUGGGGAAUUUUGGACAAUGGGGGCAACCCUGAUCCAGCCAUUCCGCGUGAGUGAAGAAGGCCUUCGGGUUGUAAAGCUCUUUCAGCAGGAACGAAACGGUGGUCCCUAAUACGGGCUACUAAUGACGGUACCUGAAGAAGAAGCACCGGCUAACUACGUG
rnacentral:rRNA from 1 species